GAUGAACGCUAGCGGCAGGCCUAACACAUGCAAGUCGAGGGGUAACAGGGGAGCUUGCUUCCGCUGACGACCGGCGCACGGGUGCGUAACGCGUAUGCAACCUACCUCUUACUGGGGAAUAGCCCGGAGAAAUCCGGAUUAAUAUCCCAUACGAUUGUUAAGACACAAGUCUCUACAAUUAAAGCUUCGGCGGUUAGGGAUGGGCAUGCGUCCUAUUAGUUUGUUGGUAAGGUAACGGCUUACCAAGACUACGAUAGGUAGGGGGCCUGAGAGGGGUAUCCCCCACACUGGUACUGAGACACGGACCAGACUCCUACGGGAGGCAGCAGUGAGGAAUAUUGGUCAAUGGACAAAAGUCUGAACCAGCCAUGCCGCGUGCAGGAUGAAUGCCCUACGGGUUGUAAACUGCUUUUAUAUAGGAAGAAACCCCCGAACGUGUUCGGGGCUGACGGUACUAUACGAAUAAGGACCGGCUAACUCCGUGCCAGCAGCCGCGGUAAUACGGAGGGUCCAAGCGUUAUCCGGAAUCAUUGGGUUUAAAGGGUCCGCAGGCGGACCAGUAAGUCAGUGGUGAAAUCCUGUAGCUUAACUACUGAACUGCCAUUGAAACUGACAGUCUUGAAUUCGGUCGAAGUGGGCGGAAUGUGUCAUGUAGCGGUGAAAUGCAUAGAUAUGACACAGAACACCGAUAGCGAAGGCAGCUCACUAGGCCUGAAUUGACGCUCAGGGACGAAAGCGUGGGGAGCGAACAGGAUUAGAUACCCUGGUAGUCCACGCCGUAAACUAUCAAUACUCGUUUUUGGCGAUAUACAGUCGGAGACUAAGCGAAAGUGAUAAGUAUUGCACCUGGGGAGUACGAUCGCAAGGUUGAAACUCAAAGGAAUUGACGGGGGCCCGCACAAGCGGUGGAGCAUGUGGUUUAAUUCGAUGAUACGCGAGGAACCUUACCAGGGCUUAAAUGUAUAGUGACAGGUGUGGAAACACAUCCUUCUUCGGACAAUUUGCAAGGUGCUGCAUGGUUGUCGUCAGCUCGUGCUGUGAGGUGUCGGGUUAAGUCCCAUAACGAGCGCAACCCCUAUUCUUAGUUGCCAGCGGAUAAUGCCGGGGACUCUAGGAAAACUGCCCGCGCAAGCGGAGAGGAAGGUGGGGACGACGUCAAAUCAUCACGGCCCUUACGUCCAGGGCUACACACGUGCUACAAUGGUCGGUACAAAGGGCAGCUACCUGGUGACAGGAUGCUAAUCCCUAAAGCCGAUCUCAGUUCGGAUUGGAGUCUGCAACUCGACUCCAUGAAGCUGGAAUCGCUAGUAAUCGCGCAUCAGCCAUGGCGCGGUGAAUACGUUCCCGGGCCUUGUACACACCGCCCGUCAAGCCAUGGAAGCCGGGGGUACCUGAAGUCAGUAACCGUAAGGAGCUGCCUAGGGUAAAACUGGUAACUAGGGCU
rnacentral:rRNA from 1 species